GUCGAGCGGUAGCACAGAGAGCUUGCUCUCGGGUGACGAGCGGCGGACGGGUGAGUAAUGUCUGGGAAACUGCCUGAUGGAGGGGGAUAACUACUGGAAACGGUAGCUAAUACCGCAUAACGUCGCAGGACCAAAGUGGGGGACCUUCGGGCCUCAUGCCAUCAGAUGUGCCCAGAUGGGAUUAGCUAGUAGGUGGGGUAACGGCUCACCUAGGCGACGAUCCCUAGCUGGUCUGAGAGGAUGACCAGCCACACUGGAACUGAGACACGGUCCAGACUCCUACGGGAGGCAGCAGUGGGGAAUAUUGCACAAUGGGCGCAAGCCUGAUGCAGCCAUGCCGCGUGUGUGAAGAAGGCCUUCGGGUUGUAAAGCACUUUCAGCGGGGAGGAAGGCGAUAAGGUUAAUAACCUUGUCGAUUGACGUUACCCGCAGAAGAAGCACCGGCUAACUCCGUGCCAGCAGCCGCGGUAAUACGGAGGGUGCAAGCGUUAAUCGGAAUUACUGGGCGUAAAGCGCACGCAGGCGGUCUGUCAAGUCGGAUGUGAAAUCCCCGGGCUCAACCUGGGAACUGCAUUCGAAACUGGCAGGCUAGAGUCUUGUAGAGGGGGGUAGAAUUCCAGGUGUAGCGGUGAAAUGCGUA
rnacentral:rRNA from 1 species